rnacentral:lncRNA from 1 species
CCACCUUAACGUAUCAAAGGCAGAUUUUUUUUUGAUAAUACAGGUGAGUUUUUGAAAUAGUUUUGAUUAUUUUUGUUCGUAAUUCAUAAGUCCAUGCUAAUUUUGUUUUAAUCCAUAUGAUAGUUAAAACGUGUUUGUGAGUUUAAUUUAAUUAGUUUUGUCUUAAUUCACUCCUUAGUUUAGUUUUGUUAUUGAUUUUGAUUUCUUAGUUUAAUUAAUUAAUCUUUUUAGGUACAAUUUAGGUUUCGAUU